rnacentral:rRNA from 1 species
GACGAACGCUGGCGGCGUGCUUAACACAUGCAAGUCGAACGAAAAGAGGGAAAGAGCCUGCUCUUUCCGGAAUUGAGUGGCAAACGGGUGAGUAACACGUAAACAACCUGCCUUCAGGAUGGGGACAACAGACGGAAACGACUGCUAAUACCGAAUAAGUUCCAAGAGCCGCAUGGCCCAUGGAAGAAAAGGUGGCCUCUACCUGUAAGCUAUCGCCUGAAGAGGGGUUUGCGUCUGAUUAGCUGGUUGGAGGGGUAACGGCCCACCAAGGCGACGAUCAGUAGCCCGGCUGAGGGGAGGAACGGCCACCCUGGAACUGAGACCCGGGACCGGCCCCCUCGGGGGGCAGGAGGGGGGAAUCCUCCCGAAUGGGCGAAAGCCCGGCGGGGGAACGGCGGGGUGGUGAAGGCGGCCUUCGGGUUUGAAAACCUUGGGGACCGGGACGAAAAGGCAGGGGGCGAAAAACAAAACGCCUUGACGGUACCGGAAAAGCAAGCCCCGGCCAACUCCG